AUCACAUUGAAACGCCAGUUCACGUACGACCACUGAAGUUAAACAACGUCGAGCCUGGUCAAUACCUAGAUGGGUGACCGCUUGAGAAUACUCGGUGAUGUU